UGGUAAGAUCAAAAGCAACUAGGCUUUGGUGCGAUCGUAAUGUAAGUUCGAAGCCGAUAGUGUUCUUCAGGAGAUUAGACUGAAACAACGCAUCAGUGAGGAAGGACCUUGGCUAACUUUCAUGUGGAUCACCAUUGGAGGACUUCUAUCUUAGGGUCUUGUGAAAAACACCAACAUGCCAUUUUUUUAUUUUGAUGAAAGUAUAAAAUUCUAUCCCUUUUGCCUGCUUGUUUUUGUUUUA
rnacentral:lncRNA from 1 species